rnacentral:rRNA from 1 species
GAMGCUGGCGGCGUGCUUAACACAUGCAAGUCGAMCGGAAAGGCCAGUGCUUGCACUGGUACUCGAGUGGCGAACGGGUGAGUAACACGUGGGUGAUCUGCCUUGCACUCUGGGAUAAGCUUGGGAAACUGGGUCUAAUACCGGAUAUGAGCYRCYUUUAGUGUGGUGGUUGGAAAGUUUUUUCGGUGCAAGAUGAGCUCGCGGCCUAUCAGCUUGUUGGUGGGGUAAUGGCCUACCAAGGCGUCGACGGGUAGCCGGCCUGAGAGGGUGUACGGCCACAUUGGGACUGAGAUACGGCCCAGACUCCUACGGGAGGCAGCAGUGGGGAAUAUUGCACAAUGGGCGGAAGCCUGAUGCAGCGACGCCGCGUGGGGGAUGACGGCCUUCGGGUUGUAAACUCCUUUCGACAGGGACGAAGCUUUUGKGACGGUACCUGUAUAAGAAGCACCGG